CUGUCGGUUAUUAAAAAUGGAAAGCCAUCGAAGUUGGAAGAUAGAAAACAAUGCAGAUGACUUGCAGAUAGGAAUUGCAAAACCGAUAUCAAACACAGAGCAAGUGCACUUCCAAAGUCUCGAGUCUCCCAAAUGUUGAAGGGGUCCACGAUGAAAGAAGAUGACCUCAUUGUGCUUCAAAACCAUUAGAAGUCAACGCUUUCUGUUUGAUCGCAAUUUUAAUGUUUUCUUUCUGACAAAAUGGAAGCAAAGACAGUGCAAAGUAGCAAUGAAAGCAUCCCAAAAUGGGACAGUGGUUCAAAAUGGCACACUGGCUAAAUGUGACACAGUGGCUCUAAAGUGGCACAGUUUGGAAACAUUAACUCCGACAGCCUUUUCGAGGCAUUGCAG